rnacentral:rRNA from 1 species
GAUGAACGCUGGCGGCGUGCCUAAUACAUGCAAGUCGAGCGAACAGACGAGGAGCUUUCUCCUCUGACGUUAGCGGCGGACGGGUGAGUAAAACGUGGAUAACCUACCUAUAAUACUGGGAUAACUUCGGGAAACCGGAGAUACUACCGGAUAACAUGUCGAACCGCUUGGUUCAACAGUUAUAGACGGUCUUCCUGUCACUUAUAGCUGGAUCCGCGUCGGAUUAGCUAGUUGGUAAGGUAACGGCUUACCAAGGCGACGAAGCGUAGCUGAUCUGAGAGGAUGAUCAGCCACACUGGAACUGAGACACGGUCCAGACUCCUACGGGAGGCAGCAGUGGGGAAUAUUGGACAAUGGGCGCAAGCCUGAUCCAGCCAUACCGCGUGGGUGAAGAAGGCCUUCGGGUUGUAAAGCCCUUUUGUUGGGAAAGAAAAGCAGCAGGUUAAUACCCCGCUGUUCUGACGGUACCCAAAGAAUAAGCACCGGCUAACUUCGUG